AUUUUUGUAUACGACUGCAUGAUCUUUCUUCUUUAAAUUUCUUACUUUUCUUAUUCGAUGUUUUGUUGUUUUCUAUAUUUGUUACUUCAAUAGAUACACACAGCCGUGCUUUUCGUCGGCACGCGUGUCACUUUACUUACUGUCAAAAUGGUUAAAUGAAUCAACAAAUUCUUCAAAAUUCUAGUAUAAGAUUCGUUAUCGUCAUCAAUAAAAAAACAGUAAUACAAAUAUUUUCGUACUUUGUUAUACUACAUAAUACAUGUGUUAUAAAUUAUAAUGUACAAACAGAAAUUCUGCAUUCUGAAUAUUAUUAUUCGCGUUCGCGAUGUCAUAAUUAAACAUUAAGCAAAGUGAGAGGGAAGUUGCGAAUUAUGGUCUCGAAGGAUAGAAUGCUGUCUAUCGUCUUGCGAAUCUCAUGUCACAUCUGAGCCAGACACCGUCCGAGGAAGCCACAUUGUUAGCCCGAGGUUAUAAGCUGUUAAGAAAACUCGGCGAAGGUUGUUACGCAAAAGUGUACUUGGCCGAAUAUAAGCCAGAACAUGAAUCGGAUCGAAAUAGCAUCCUGGCCUGUAAGAUUGUCGAUACUGCGAUCGCAUCGAAGGACGUCGUUCGAAAAUUUCUACCGCGUGAAUUGGAUAUUCUGGUCAAGCUGAAUCACCCGCACGUCGUGCACGUGCAUAGUAUCUUUCAAAGACAUACCAAGUACUUCAUAUUCAUGCGUUUCGCCGAAAAUGGUGAUCUUCUCGACUUUGUACUGAAGAAUGGUGCGGUGUCUGAGAAUCAAGCCCGCAUCUGGUUCCGGCAGCUCGCUUUAGGCCUUCAGUAUUUACAUGAGAUGGAGAUAGCGCAUCGCGAUAUCAAAUGCGAGAACAUUCUCCUGACAGCCAACUACAAUGUAAAACUGGCAGAUUUCGGCUUCGCGCGUUACAUGAUCGACAGUCGCGGUAAGCGCGUUCUGAGUGACACGUAUUGCGGUUCGCUGUCGUACGUGGCACCGGAGGUCCUACGCGCCUAUCCAUACAACCCCAAGAUAUCCGAUAUAUGGUCGUUGGGCGUGAUUCUUUACAUAUUGUUAAACAAGGCCAUGCCGUUUGACGAGGAUAAUAUAAAGCGUCUGUACGAGUUGCAGAUAGCGCGCAAAUGGAAAUUCCGCAGUAAAGUUAAGGACAGAAUAACCGAUUCCGUAAAGAAACUCGUGAACAAUAUGCUCGAACCAGAUGUAUCUAAACGCUGGCGUCUGGAUCAGAUCGUGCAGAGUGAGUGGAUCGCCAUGGAUCCGCGUCUCCUGGUGCUCACGCCCGCGGAACAGACUGCGCUGAAUUACGCGAUCGAGGAGCGAAAGAGACACGAAGAGAAGUUUGUAAAGAGGGAGCCGGCACGAACAGAGAGUCUCGUACGAUCAUUAUUUUCAAACGUACUUGAUAAGUCCAAAUACCUCUUAAUAUCGCUUCCAUCAUACAUCGCGCUGACAAUGCGUAGGACGCUGCUGGUCAUCUACCUGGCGUACACGCACUUUUUAUCGCAUAUUCAAUUGCAAGAUUAAUUGAACUUGGCAAUGCAAUUGACAUCAAACGUAUAGAUUCGAUUAUGUUUAGCAAAUCAAAUCUAUUUAAUUAAGAAGAAUAUAUAGAUAGCGAGUAAUGUCACGCGAGAUUACGAGUGACCGAUUUUCAGAAACGACUCGAGGAGAAAAGGAGGAUCCAUAAUCCCAGAUCGCAUGCGGCAGAGGAAGUAACGAUUCUUAAAGACGCCGCAAAAGCGGCAGUUUCGACGAUUAUAACAACCGGAG
rnacentral:misc_RNA from 1 species